rnacentral:rRNA from 1 species
UUGCAUAUCCAAUAAGCGGAGGAAAGGAAACCAACAGGGAUUGCCUUAGUAGCGGCGAGUGAAGCGGCAAUAGCUCAAAUUUGAAAUCUGCCAACAGGCCGAGUUGUAAUUUGAAGAAAGCAAUUCUGGAUGUGUCUUUGCUCAAGUUCCUUGGAACAGGACAUCAUGGAGGGUGAGAAUCCCGUGAUGCGAAGGUAGCACGUCUAUGUAGAAUGUUUUCGACGAGUCGAGUUGUUUGGGAAUGCAGCUCAAAGUGGGUGGUAAAUUCCAUCUAAAGCUAAAUAUUGGCGAGAGACCGAUAGCGAACAAGUACUGUGAAGGAAAGAUGAAAAGAACUUUGAAAAGAGAGUGAAAAAGUACGUGAAAUUGUUGAAAUGGAAGGGCUUGAGAUUAGACAUGGUGUUUAGUGUUCC